UCUAAGGCCCUCCCUAUUCUUAGAUGAAUAGUAAUGUUGUUGUUUGGUUCACUGUUUCUUCAUUCGGUCGAAUCACUUAAAGCAUUUCUAUUCCCUCAAAUGCGUAAUACGUAUUCAAUGGUGAUGGCUUUGAAUAGCCAUUUCAACCAUCACCGAAUAGAAAUAAAGAAAAUUCUUCAUAAAAUCUCCUUCACACUUUCUUUGCAAAUGCGUUCAAAGUUGCUUCUUUCAUCACAACAAUGCAUUUUCAGGUUCAAUUGGAUGAUGUGUUUGGGCAAAAAAUGAUAAGAUAUUUAGAGGUUUAUCUUCUAUCAAGAGACAACUAUUGUUUGAAGUCGGAGUUUGAACAUGGAAAUGGGUAGGUUUGUUUCGGUUAUGAAGAAAUGGCUGCAUAAUUGGAGAAAUUUAGAUAGAUUGAAAUAUGUUAACUAGUGAGGUGAAUAGAGCAAAAAGAUGAAGGUAGAAUGAAGGGAAUGAGUUUGAAGGUUGGGAGGAAAUUAUGGUUUUGUGGAGAGAAAUCAGAGAUUCUACUAAGGGAGGGUGAGAAGAAGAGUGCAACCAAUGUGAGCUGUUUACAUGAUCCUUUUAUGAUGGGACAAAUUUAGCUAUGUGUUUUAAGAAUGCUGAUGUAAAAGUUUGAAGUUCACCAGGUUGUGGUUCACGAAUCAAUUGCAGGGUCCUUGAACUAGCUGUGGGUUCGCGAUAUCGUUGGUUUCAUUGGAAAACAUGUCUCAAGUUUUCUAUGAGUAAUUUGUAAGGUUCGCUACCUAGGGCAUAAUAAAAUAUUAUUUUAUUGUUUGAUUUUGUAGAAUUGCAGGUAAAGUUGAAUGCAUUGAAAAUCAUGGUACAGUGGGAGUGACUAAGGGAGAACAUGUCUUCUUGAUGAUGGGUGACUACUAUUUGGCGGACAAUAAGGGAUGUUUAUAAUUACAUUUUCUAAUACAUGCAUAUAUGUGUAUAUAUUACAAGAACAUGUUGGACUGAGCAGACUAAAGCAGCAAAGCAAGGGAACGGAAGGGAACAAUUACUUCUUAUUCAUACAAUUGCUAUAUGCAAUGCUACGCUGCAUUUAUAGUGUAAAGUUAUGAAUGCAUAUGUAAAUAUACAUAAUAGGAUUUUUAUAAUCCUUAAUCUUUUUUAAAUGUAUAUGUGUGCAUAUAUUAUAAGUUUUGGGUUAAGCUAACUUCUUAGUUUUUGUA